UACGGAGGGUGCGAGCGUUGUCCGGAAUCACUGGGCGUAAAGGGCGCGUAGGCGGCCUGAUAAGUAGGGGGUGAAAUCCUGCGGCUUAACCGCAGGGCUGCCUUCUAAACUGUCAGGCUCGAGCACAGUAGAGGCAGGUGGAAUUCCCGGUGUAGCGGUGGAAUGCGUAGAGAUCCGGAAGAACACCAGUGGCGAAGGCGGCUCGCUGGGCAGUGGCUGACGCUGAGGCGCGACAGCGUGGGGAGCAAACAGG
rnacentral:rRNA from 1 species